UGUGUAGGCGGUUUGAUAAGUUGGAUGUGAAAGCUCCCGGCUCAACUGGGAGAGGUCGUUCAAAACUAUCAGACUCGAGAGUGGUAGAGGGAGGUGGAAUUCCGCGUGUAGUGGUGAAAUGCGUAGAUAUGCGGAGGAACACCAGUGGCGAAAGCGGCCUCCUGGCCCAUUUCUGACGCUCAGACACGAAAGCUAAGGUAGCAAACG
rnacentral:rRNA from 1 species